rnacentral:rRNA from 1 species
AGCGAACGCUAGCGGCAGGCUUAACACAUGCAAGUCGAGCGGGCCUUUCGGGGUCAGCGGCGGACGGGUGAGUAACGCGUGGGAACGUGCCCUCUGGCUCGGAAUAACUCAGGGAAACUUGAGCUAAUACCGGAUACGCCCUUUUGGGGAAAGGCUUGCUGCCGGAGGAUCGGCCCGCGUCUGAUUAGCUAGUUGGUGAGGUAACGGCUCACCAAGGCGACGAUCAGUAGCUGGUCUGAGAGGAUGAUCAGCCACACUGGGACUGAGACACGGCCCAGACUCCUACGGGAGGCAGCAGUGGGGAAUAUUGGACAAUGGGCGCAAGCCUGAUCCAGCCAUGCCGCGUGAGUGAUGAAGGCCUUAGGGUUGUAAAGCUCUUUUAUCCGGGACGAUAAUGACGGUACCGGAGGAAUAAGCCCCGGCUAACUUCGUG